UCUUUUCUUUUCUUUUAAUUGGAUUAUAAUACCCAAGCCCUUAUUUAAAAUAAAAUAAAAUUAAAAAAAAAAAAAAAACAUUGUUCAAAACCCGAACAACAACCACAUUUACUUUCUUCCUGAAAAUGAAUUUGUUCAAGACAAUACUUCCUCCUUCCCAUGCCUUCGAUCGAAUGCGGCCAUGGCAACAAGUCUUUGAACCCUUCGAAUCCAAUAAUCCGAAACACAAUAGCAUUAAUGGUUGCCUCUUCAAUGUUCACCUUCUUCCUCUGAUUUCUCCUUCUUCGAAUUCUUUCUUUUCUCUGAUUCUUUCUCUGAUUUCUUUCUUUGAUUCCUUCAUCUGAUUCUUUCGCAUUCUCCCUCUGACUCCUUGAUUCUGAUUUUCGCAAGAACGAACAACCUAUUCCCCAUUGUUGGUCUUAAGUUUCGAUCCUUUCUUGAGUAUUCUUGAACAAACAAACCCUCAUCGUUCCCUUGAACCUGCCGAGGAAGGGGCAGCAGCCACAACCUUCGAUUCCUUGUCCUUUUCCGGGAACAAAUACAUCACAGCCACCUUGUUAUCUUCUCCUCUGGGUUUUAGUUCUACAGCCCUCACUCUCCUCUUCAAAUUUUGUUGAUCGUGACCUAAAUUAUUCCGAGUUAAGGUGAAGCAGCAAGGCUCAUGGUUUCCUAUUCAUCUCAUUGCUUUGGCCGCCGGUUCUUUUGGGUUGUUGGAGUUGAUUACAGAUCGAAACCGGUCGGGAACGAUGGGUUAGCAGUGUUGGAUAGCGUUCCAAGGAUAUGUAUUAAGCUAAGCAUGUAGGAAUUUGUAGUUUUGUAUUAGGUUUUUGGAUAGAUGUAUAUUUGUUUUGGUUGUACUGGUUAUAUCGGACUUGUAGAGAAUUGUAUGAUUUAUCUUGUGUAUUAGUUAGAUGUUUGUUUUGGGAUUUAGCUGAGUUAGUCACGUUGAAGAGCUUGUGACCCCUUUGCUUGAAUUUUGGAAGUGUGAUUUCAAUUUCUUGGCAAACGAACCCAGUGAUGACCCUGUUUACCCAGUCAACGGUAAGUCGGGUUGUUACAUGUGUGAACAAGUUUUGCUUCUGAUUUUGGUUUAUUGUUCUGUGAGCUGUUAAUAUAGUGUCAUUAGGAAUAUGUAAAGUCAUUUUUUUUAUUACAAGCUUGUAAUUUCAGAUUUGAUGAAAAUCAAUGUCAAUCCAUGUAAUUAAAGAAUGCCCAAUAUAAGGCUCUUUUGUUUUUUUUGGAAUGGAGGGUCUGUUUGCUGCUGUGAAGCUUCAAAGUUUCCUAAUUUGGAAAGUUUGUUUAUUUCCUUCUAAAAUGUAAAGUUCUCUCUCAUCAUUAAUAAAUUAAAAAUUUUUUUCA